AUGGAUGCAGCCCUUCAUUGGAGAGAAGGAAUACCCUUCAGUGGAGAGAAGGAAUACCCUUCAGUGGAGAGAAGGAAUACCCUUCAGUGGGGAGAACGAAUACCGAGUUUGAUCAAAAUAUCUCUAAGAGGAAGAGGGGUUCAGCAGGCUCUCCCUGUUCGAUGGAAAGCAACACCUUUAACUCUCUUCAGGGCCUCUUGCUGUGUUGCUCUAUUUCCCAAGCAGAGGGAUUCUAAUGGUAAUGACAACAUGUUCAGAAUAGUCGGUGAGUACCAUAGUAAGUUAUCAAGUGGUUUAUAAUUGCUAUUUUUAGUGGUUUAAGUAACCAGUUCCUUUUUUCCCCUUAAAAUAAUAAAAAAAAAUUUUUCCUCUCCA
rnacentral:lncRNA from 1 species